GUAGGUGAACCUGCGGAAGGAUCAUUAUCGAAUGAACAUGGAGUCGGUUGUCGCUGGCCCCCUUUACCGGGGGCAUGUGCACGCCUUCUCUAUUCAUCCACACACACCUGUGAACUUGUGAGACGGAUAGUAGUCCUCUUAGGGGGACGAGGUCCGUCUGCUAAUACAUAAACUCUAAUCAUAUAAAUUUGAAUGUCAUUUGAUGUAACGCAUCUAUAAACUAAGUUUCAACAACGGAUCUCUUGGCUCUC
rnacentral:misc_RNA from 1 species